UAGAUCACUCUUUGCCUGAUCAUUGAGCAAAAUAGAGGAAGUCUAUGUUCCUCGGACUUUCCAAUAAUGUUUUCGCACCUGUGUAAGAUCCUUCAAAAAUGUACUUCUUUUGAAGGAUAUGACAUGCGCCUUGCGACAUUUUUGAAGAGUCCGAGCAACAUCGGAGGAAGUGAAAUUCAUGCAAGAUAGUCAAAUACUACAAAACGUGUUUUGAACGCGUAGUAAAAAAGGGAACAAAACGCGUAGUCAAAAAGGGAGGUGCAACACGCGGAUUUUACGCGUUUCUAGUUUUCUAUAAAUAGAGGGCCUCUUGUCCUCAUUUAGAUCAUCCUACAAAAGUACAAUCCAAAAGAGUAAGAACAUAAAGAGAGUUAUACAACAAUCCAAAAGAGUAAGAACAUAAAGAGAGUUAUACACUAAGAUAAAUAUUGUAGUCUUGAGUGUCCUCUUUAGUGAGUUGUUCCUUUUAUAAGAGAGAAGUGUUAAUUGUUGUUUUCUCCUUGUAUUUGAAAGCAGUAUACUCUCAUAUUAUCAUAGUAAAAUCCUUCUACCCCAUGGUUUUUUCCCUCUAUCUGGGGUUUCCACAUAAAUUCUCUUGUCCAAUUUAUUUUCAUUAUUUAUUAUCAUAUCAAACUUUAGUAGUGGUGCUUCCUCCUCCAACAAUUCAAAUCGAAGUGAAGAACUGUCUUUGCUGCUUAAACAAAAUUCACUCAAUUUCCUUUUAGCAGGAAAAUCGAGAUACAACGGAAGUAUCAAGAUGGAUUACAAAAGUGGUAGUUGCACUGAAGAAUUUGAGAUACCACUGUUUGACUUAUCUACCAUAAAAAUGGCUACCAAUAACUUUUCAGUUAACAGAAAGAUUGGAGAGGGGGGUUUGGUCCUGUUUAUAAGGGAAUACUUGAACAAGGACGAGAAAUAGCUGUCAAGCGUCUGUCUAAAACAUUCACCCAAGGAGAAGAUGAGUUCAAAAACAAAGUGGUAUAUAUUGCCAAACUUCAGCAUAGAAAUCUUGUGAAGAUUCUUGGAUGCUGCAUUGAAGGAGAAGAAAAAAUGUUGAUCCAUGAGUACUUGCCAAAUGAAAGUCUUGAUUCAUUUAUUUUGGCAACAAAUUCCCAUACCAAUAUUGUGUAAACUGAAUUAUCUUCUCCCAGUUUCGAAUCCCCCAUCAAGUAAGAAAAAAACAUGUAAGGAGGGAACUAAGAGCUCAGGUGUAUUAGAGCUUAAUAAUAUGCACAUGGUAGCCCUAAUUGGUCUUUUCUUUCAAUUAGGGAAUGGACUGAUAUAGUUUGAUGUUUUAAUACUACUUUUUAUCUUUAGUUUAAUGAACCAACAAAAAUUGGCAGGUGGUAGACAAAGCAGGAUAUUAGAUUGGCCUGAGCGAUUUCAAAUUAUCAAUGGAUUGCUCGGAGACUUGUAUAUCUGCAUCAAGAUUCUCAACUGCGGAUAAUUCAUAGAGAUCUGAAAGCUAAUAACAUCUUGCUAGACAAUGAUAUGAAUGCAAAGAUUUUAGACUUCAGUAUAGCAAGAUGUUAUGAAGAGGAUGAGAAUGAAGCCAUGACAAACCGAGGUAUCGAAACAUACGGGUACCUCGCACCAGAAUACGAAAUUAUACGGGAUAUACUCAGUAAAAUCAGAUGUGUUUAGCUUUUUGUAUCUUAGUACUGGAUAUUGUGAGUGGAAAAUGCAACAGAAGAUUCUCUCCUUCAAACUUUAACCUUAGUCUAAUCGGACAUGCAUGGGAACUCAACAAAGAAGGUCAAUAGAACUACUUGAUGAUGAAUGCGUAGGUGAUUCUAGUUCUACACCUCAAGAAGUGGUACAAUCAAUCUGCGUUGGUCUAUUAUGUGUCCAACAACGUCCAGAUGAUCGCCCAAGUAUGUCUUCCGUGGUUCUAAUGUUAAAUACUGAAGGUACGCUUCCUCAGGUUAAACAACCAGGUUUUUACAUGGAAGGAGAUGCAUCAGAUACUGAUUUAUUUUCUAGCCAAUUUGCUUUUAGUACAACGGAUAACAUCCGGUUAGAAUAUUAGAUGAAAGACAGAGAACACUAGUUCACUUGUUUGAAACAAAUUCUUUCUAAGCUUGCAUUCUAAUAAAUUAUAGUUAACCCUU